ensembl:lncRNA novel transcript
AGAGUCUUUGAGCACCUGCUGGGCUGGGCAGUGAUGGGUCCUUUAUAGCCACCAUCUGAAAAAACAGAAAAGGGCAGGAUGAGCAGCGCUCAAAACCUCCCACUACUGCUGCUGUCUGUCCGGUCCUAGACAAGUUGUCUGCAUUUGUUAGAUGUGGACGAAUAGUAGUACCAACUUCUAAUGUUGCAGUGGGGAUUGGCAGACCACAGCCCCAGACCAGCCCUACAGGAGUUUGCUCCAAGCGCCACUGGCCUGGCCCAGCACACAGGUUGCCUCGUCCGCCGCCUCCCCACAGCACCUUUCCUGAAUUCUGUCGGCAUUGAGACCCAUCUCCUCUUUCUCUGUCUCUCUUUGCCUGACCCUCGUCCAUUCUCCUAGUGGGCAGGAUGCUGUCAGCUAUUGCUAUUUGGAGGGUGAGAUGACCCCUGAGUAGAAAUAACUCCUAUAAGUUCAGAGGUUCAGCCUUUAACAAACUCACAUUCCUGUUUGACUGACAGAUCUCCCAGAAAGGAAAAUAAAAGCACCUUGAGGA